AAGGUCACGCACGUUUUCAGGUCGGCCGCCAUUUUGAAAUUUGUGAAAACAAUAGGAUACACAAUAUCGUCAAAAAUCAAUAUAACUGUUGAUUCAAAAGCAUGGAAACGAUUAAAAAUGAAAUGACUGUUUAUAAUCAUAGCAUGGGAUGGUAAUUUAAGCGGAGUUGAAGAAUCAUGCAGACAUGACUAAACUUGAAAGUUUCAAUUACUGGAUUACCUUUUUUGGAUUUAUGAUAUUAGACUUAUGUCGCUUUCAUGUGAAAUAAAGAUGAUAAAAUACAUGUGUUGAUUACUUGUUUGAUUGCAAAUUCUGUUGAAAUUUUGGUCAGAUUUUGGUUGGAAAGUGGUUAGAUUUUGGUUGGAAAAUGGUCGGAUUGCGACGUCUAGCCAACAUCGGGAUCCGACGUCUAAACGGUUUGCAAAUCCAACCAAAAUCCAACGUUAAUCUGACGUCGGGGUCCGACAUCUAUACGACGUCUAACCGACGUCAAAUGUCUACUGGGUGGUAGAGACAGUAUUUCCUGACACUUAAUUGCAAUUAUGAAUUAUUGUACUGUCAGAGUAUUGCCACUGAAGGUAUGAUCUUUUAAAUUUUUCCAGGGUGUCUGAAGAAUGUAUGUAUUUAGGUAUGUUAUUCCAGAUAACUGGUCCAGAGUAGUGCAAGGAUUUGCGAAAAAAAUCCUUUUUUGGCAUAGGUACUACUAGUUCAUCAUUUUGUCUAGAUCUAAGUUCAUGAUCAGAUGUAUGAUUUUGAGCAAAUUUUGGAGUAAGGUAAUUAGGACAUUGAUUAUUAGUUGAUUUACAUACUAGGAUUGCUUUUUUGUAUUUAAUUCGGUCAGAAAAAGUCAUCCAUUUCAAUUCUGUAAAUAACUCAGCAGAUGGGGCAUCAAAUUUUUUGUCAAGAAUGAUUCUUGCAGCACGUUUUUGGAAUUUCAAAACAGUUUCUAGAAGCUCGUCACUGCAGUUUCCCCAUAUAGUGCAGCAAUAAUCAAGAUGUGGCAAAAUAUAAGCAUUGAAAAACGGCUUUCGGGAGUGUAAGUUCAGAAAAGAUUUUAUUCGUAAGAGAAGAUACAAAUAUGUAUUGCAUUUUUUCAUGGUUUGUUCAACCUGAUACUUCCAGUUUAGAUGUUUAUCUACAUGUACUCCUAAAAGUUUCUCUGGAUGAGUAUGAAAGUGUUUGACCCUGCAUUUGAAUAGUAUUACAGGUUAUGUGAUUUGUUAUUUUAUUGUUGUUAUAUGAGGCAGUGAUGUACAUAGCUUUUGUUUUAGAUGUAUUAGGAAGCAUUGAGUUAUCAGUGCACCAUUUUUCAACAGUAUUUAUGUCAGCCUGUAGUGUAUUGUGUACUUCUGCUACUGAUUUACCUGAGGCAGAUAUUGUUGUAUCAUCUGCAAACAUGUCAAUUGAUGAUUUGCAUGUCAGGGCUUUGGGCUGGGUAAAUAAAACCCUGGCGAUUAAACACUGACUACCCUAAAACCCGAUGAAAGCGGAAGACCUGAAAGACUAUGUGACAAUGUGGUGUAAAAAGAAGUGUGGUGCAGCCAACUGAUGCUAGUCGGAAUCUGGCAAUGACAGAAAAAAAUGGAUAAUUAUAUGCCAGUAAGUUUGCCAAAAAAGGAACAAACAUUCAGUGAAAAUGACUUCUUCUGUGUAUACUUCUCUAGUGUUAAAUGGCAGCUGCAGUUAAUGGAAUAAUUCUUAUUUUGAAUUUUACAUAUUUAGCAGAUUAGAAAGCUUCAAAGGUAUUUCUAUCAUUCGUUUCUAAAUUGUCAUGUAUAAAUCAGUUACAUGUUAUUAUUUUGAAUUCUGUGAAUUAAAUAAUUUACGAAGAAUUCUCUGCUAUGUAUCAUCAUUUUAUAUUUUGAGUUGAAUACUUAAAGCGGCUCAUAUAAUUGUAGAAUUUAAAUUUCACCUUUUUACUACUGUGAAAUAACCUAUUAACAGUAUACAAUUAGUAUAGUAUUAAGAGUAUACAAUUGGUAUAGUAUUUGCAGUAUACAAUUAGUAUACUAUUAACAGUAUAUAAUUAGUAUACUAUUAACAGUAUAUAUUUAGUAUACUAUUGACCAUCCGUGGCAAUCAAUUUGCAUAUCAUUACACAGUUUGAUUAGUAAUAGUAUCUUGACAGUAGUUUGUUAUAGUAUACUAUUAGCUCAUUUGCAUGUGAAAUUUUUACUAAUUCUAUACUAAUGG
rnacentral:lncRNA from 1 species